rnacentral:rRNA from 1 species
AACGAACGCUGGCGGCGUGGAUAAGACAUGCAAGUCGAACGGAUUCGUUGGCGUAGCAAUACGCUGGCGGGUCAGUGGCGCAAGGGUGCGUAACACGUGGGCAACCUGCCCUGGAGACUGGGAUAGCCCGCCGAAAGGCGGAUUAAUACCGGAUGCGGCUACCGAAUGAUUAUUCGGGACGCUAAAGGUGGCGCAAGCUGCCGCUCCUGGAUGGGCCCGCGGCCUAUCAGCUAGUUGGUUGAGGUAACGGCUCACCAAGGCUAUGACGGGUAGCUGGUCUGAGAGGACGACCAGCCACACUGGAACUGAGACACGGUCCAGACACCUACGGGUGGCAGCAGUCGAGAAUUUUUCGUCAAUGGGGAAACCCUGACGGAGCGACGCCGCGUGGAGGAUGAAGGUCUUCGGAUUGUAAACUCCUGUCAUUGGUGAACAAAGUACUGCGGUUAACUGCCGUGGUGCCUGCUAGUAG